rnacentral:rRNA from 1 species
UACGAAGGGGGCUAGCGUUGCUCGGAAUCACUGGGCGUAAGGGUGCGUAGGCGGGUCUUUAAGUCAGGGGUGAAAUCCUGGAGCUCAACUCCAGAACUGCCUUUGAUACUGAGGAUCUUGAGUUCGGGAGAGGUGAGUGGAACUGCGAGUGUAGAGGUGAAAUUCGUAGAUAUUCGCAAGAACACCAGUGGCGAAGGCGCUCACUGGCCGAUACUGACGCUGAGGCACGAAAGCGUGGGGAGCAAACGGG